UCCCAGUUUAACCACAAUGAUAUUCCCGUUAGAUGGCAGUCAACCCAUUCACUCCCUAUUCAUGAGAAUACCACACAGGAAUACAGAAAGGUGACAUACUGCCCCCUAUCUUCCCUUUCAUUUUCUUUUGUAAAUCAGAUGACAACGUUCAGAACUCUGUUGUGUUUGACUUUUCAUCUGUCUUUUUUCUGUCUUUUUCCACAUUAACGGCACACCUACUGUAAGGUUCUCCAAUAUUAUGCUACUAUUUUUCCUCAAUAUAAAUCCUGCCUAAACUCUGCCCAUACUAAUUUCAGUUUUGCUUGACUGCUGUGGGCCACAGUAAGGGAAUGAGAGUCAUAGCAGAGCCUGGGAAUUGGGCCUUUCAUACUACGCCGUGCAGAAUUCUGCAGCCGGAAUAUUCACUGACCUUAUUGGUCAGCGAAGAAUUCUAGACAUUCUACUAGCCCCAAGAGACGUGCAAAGAAUGAGUCAUGAAAGCUGUCUUUUUCUUGAGAUGUACUAAUUAAUGACUUACCAGGAAGAAAACAAUGGAGAAGGGAGGGGAGUGAUUGAUGUUUGCAUCCUGUGGCAGUCAACUUCAAUUAUGGAAGCAGCAAUAUUAGAUGCCUUGCACAUGGCCAGCAGGGCAUUGCAGUAGUAUGUCUCCUUCCUGCACAACCAAGGAUAACAUGAGAAGGCCAAGACUGCAUGGGAUGAAACCACCAACAGUACAGACUUCCCUUCCAUCAUCUGCCAGAACAGGAAGGCGCCAAUUUGCAGCAAGUUCUGCCAAGGGCAGGGUAGUAAAAGAAGAGGUGCACAGUUCAGAAGAACAUUUUAUGGCCUUUGGAUUAAAAUCAUUCAGUCUGUCCUCAUACUUGAUUUUUAACAGUUGCAUUUAUAUGUUAAGAAAACAAUGGUAUUGUUUAUGAAUCCAGUGCAAUACAUUUGAAGGAACGUGAAUGUACUCCAUAAAUACUCGUGCUGCCAAAGCCUAACACGGCUUCCCUCUGAAAAUCAGUACAAACUCAGUUGCUAUUGCACCUUGUAAACACUUGAUGUUAUCUGUGAAUCACUUCAAUAUCUCUUGUAGCAUGCUUGUAACAAUCAUUAACCGUGUUCUGGUGAAGGUUGUUUGUAUUUCACACUUUCCCAACAGAGAGACAAUCUGGGUAUCAUUGUCUCUUGGUGUCCAUAGUUCACAAAUAGGAAUAGAGCAAAAAUGGUUUUCCUGUUCAUUCUUGUCUACUAGAAUCACGUCAAGCCAACUGGCAGCUGUUAUCCUGUCUGGAUGGGGAAUAUAAAAUUUACUUUUCUAUAAUUCACUCUUAGAAUAAGCCAGAUAAAUUUUGUAUUCCAGUUUUAAUAUUAGCAAAUGUAAACUAUUUUAGAUUUAGAUAACUUGUUUUUUGAGCUACAGUGUGGUUGAUAUAAACUCCAUGAAACAGAUGUCAUAUAUUAGUGAAGUUUGAGAACCAAGACUGAGUACAUAACGUUUGCUGCUGUCAAUCUCUUUUAGAUAAUCUAUCAAACAAGAUGCAGAUAAAUCCAAACUGAUGAAAAUACUUCUGAGCAUUUGUUCAUUUCUGAAUAUUUAUUUAUAUCUGAAACAUGGAAUGAUGAAAAUUUAUCCCAGUCAGUAAUGGUCUGAAAAUGUUUGGAUACAGUACAGCUUGACGCAGUUGAUUUCAGCAUCUGUUAUUAACUAACACCUCAGUUCACGUGGCACAACUUAUGACUUACUUUAGUAUUUUUAAAUGAGCCAUUUGUAGGCCCAUUCCCACCACUACUAAUCAUGGAGCACAACUUUUCUCUCAAGCUGAAACCCAUUAAUUAAUGGGAACAAUUUCAGACUUGUUUUGGCUUGCCAACUACAUAGAACACAGAUCAAGUUCACUGGUUGCAUAAGUACUGUAUGGGAGAAAUACAGGAGACAUAAGUACGUAUAGCAGUUUGAAACAGCAGUUAGAAGUUCUCUGAACCUGCUGGAUACUUGAACAUACACUGAUUUAACUCACUAUGGCUGAAAUUCUGUAGCUUAGUGUAGUGAGUUACACUAAAGUAGGCCCACUGAAUGAGUAGAGAUCUGGUGAGUCAACUCCUCCAUAAGUUCCACUGAUUCAACUGAGCCUACUUUAGUUGUAACUUACUUUAACAUAGUAAGUCACAACUAAGUUCCAUGUGAAUCAGUGGAACUUAAAGAGGAAUUGACUCACCAAAUCUCCACUCAUUCAAUGAGUCUACUCUAGUGGUAACUUACAAAUCAAUGGUAAGCAAUUUGAUUUGAGCCUAUAUAAUAUCUGCACAAUCAUAAAGGGGCUCCUUGUAAAUAAACGUAUCUGUUUGAAAACA
ensembl:lncRNA